UAUUUGUUACGGUCAUUAAAACUUAAAGGAUUUGGCGGCAGAUAAUUUUUAUUAGAGGAACUUGUAUUUUAAUAGAUACUACCCGUUAUAAUUUACUUAAUUUAGAUUAUUUUGUAUAUCGUCGUUUAUUUUUGGGGAAUACUUAAAGAUAAAAUUUUCUUUUUGAUUAAAUUCAAUUAAAUCAGAUCAAGAUACAGGUUAUAAUUAAGAGUUUAUGAGUUACAAUUAAUUUGGGUAUUAACGUAUAAUUUUUAGCAUUAAAUUUUUCAAGUUGAAUUUAAAAGUAAAUUUUUAUUAGAAAGUAAUAUUGAAUUAUUUCUAUUUGUGU
rnacentral:rRNA from 1 species